UACAGAGGUCUCAAGCGUUGUUCGGAUUCAUUGGGCGUAAAGGGUGCGUAGGCGGCGCGGUAAGUCGGGUGUGAAAUCUCGGAGCUUAACUUCGAAACUGCAUUCGAUACUGCCGUGCUUGAGGACUGGAGAGGAGACUGGAAUUUACGGUGUAGCGGUGAAAUGCGUAGAUAUCGUAAGGAAGACCAGUGGCGAAGGCGGGUCUCUGGACAGUUCCUGACGCUGAGGCACGAAGGCCCAGGGGGAGCAAACGGG
rnacentral:rRNA from 1 species